GAUGAACGCUGGCGGCGUGCCUAAUACAUGCAAGUCGAGCGAACGGACGAGAAGCUUGCUUCUCUGAUGUUAGCGGCGGACGGGUGAGUAACACGUGGAUAACCUACCUAUAAGACUGGGCUAACUUCGGGAAACCGGAGCUAAUACCGGAUAAUAUUUUGAACCGCAUGGUUCAAAAGUAAAAGACGGUCUUGCUGUCACUUAUAGAUGUAUCCGCGCUGCAUUAGCUAGUUGGUAAGGUAACGGCUUACCAAGGCAACGAUGCAUAGCCGACCUGAGAGGGUGAUCGGCCACACUGGAACUGAGACACGGUCCAGACUCCUACGGGAGGCAGCAGUAGGGAAUCUUCCGCAAUGGGCGGAAGCCUGACGGAGCAACGCCGCGUGAGUGAUGAAGGUCUUCGGAUCGUAAAACUCUGUUAUUAGGGAAGAACAUAUGUGUAAGUAACUGUGCACAUCUUGACGGUACCGAAUCAGAAAGCCACGGCUAACUACGUG
rnacentral:rRNA from 1 species